rnacentral:rRNA from 1 species
GGGCUAAGGGCUUAAUACAUAGCAAAGUCGAACGGUAACAUGUCGGAGCAAUCUGAUGAUGACGAGUGGCGCACGGGUAGCGUAACGCGUAAUGCAACCUACCCAUAACCGGAACAUAACGUUGAGAAAUCGGCGCUAAUAUUCCAUGUGUAUAUUUUGUGGCAUCAUAGGAUAUAUAAAGAUUAAUUGGUUAUGGAUGGGCAUGCGUAUCAUUAGCUAGUUGGUAGGGUAACGGCCUACCAAGGCUGCGAUGAUUAGGGGUUCUGAGAGGAUAACCCCCCACACUGGAACUGAGACACGGUCCAGACUCCUACGGGAGGCAGCAGUAGGGAAUAUUGGGCAAUGGAGGCAACUCUGACCCAGCCAUGCCGCGUGAAGGAAGACGGUCCUAUGGAUUGUAAACUUCUUUUACCAUAGAGUAACCGCAGGGACGUGUCCCUGCCUGCAAGUAUAUGAUGAAUAAGCAUCGGCUAACUCCGUG